rnacentral:tRNA from 1 species
GGGGGGGCAGCUCAGGGGUAGAGCACAUGCUUGGCAUGCACAAGGUCCUGGGUUCCACCCCCAGCACCUCCA